rnacentral:lncRNA from 1 species
UUCCUCCUUUCUGUUAAAAUUGUCCACAUGCUUGUGGAUUUCAGUGGCUUCUCUGUGUCGUCUGACAUAGUUGUUAGAAUGGUCCAGCAUUUCUGUGUUUUCAAAUAAUAUGCCGUGUCCAGGUUGGUUCAUCUAGUGCUUUGAUAUGGGUGACUUCUCUGGUUGAAUUAGUCUUCAGUGCCUUUCAUGUUCUUUGAUUCGUGUUUGGGUGAUGCAGCAUUUGGUGGUCCCUAUGUAGACUUGUCCACAGCUACGUGGUAUACGGUAGACUUCUACAGAGGUGAGGUGAUCCCUCUUGUCCUUUGCUGAAUGUAGCAUUUGUUGGGUUUUCUUAGUGGGUCUGUAGUUUGUAGGUUGUGUUUCUUCAUCAGCUUCCCUAUGCGGUCUGUGGUUCUCUUGAUGUAUGGUUUUUUCUUUCGACAUCCAUGGGUCCUCCGUGGGCUGAAGCCUUGUUCCUCCUUUACUAAGGAAUGGCAACGCCAUCGUUGAACCCUCCACCAGACCUCCCUUUUGCUGCCACCUUGUUCCUGCCCCUCCCUGCCAUCAUUUUCUUGGUUGUUGGCUCCUACCUACUACUCCUUGUCCUGGUUCUGGUCCUUCGUCAGUGUCUGCUGGCUAGAGGUCUUUGUGCCAAUUGCUGUUCCUGUGAAAAGCGGACUUGGCCAAACAUGUGUGAAUGUUGUAUGGCUUGUGCAGAGACAUGUAACUGUGUACUCCCCUCCCCAACCCGCUGUCUGGAUCACUGCUGUUCCUGCACUAAUGGCUGGGAGACAGGGACGUGCUCCAUUCCCCGUCUGUGUCCUCUCUGUGAUUGUGCCUGCACCUACCAGCCCCCAGACUGUCAGAACAUCAACUGCAUUUGUUUUGAGAUCAAAUUGCGUUAA